rnacentral:rRNA from 1 species
GGCCUAACACAUGCAAGUCGAGCGCCCCGCAAGGGGAGCGGCAGACGGGAGAGUAACACGUGGGAACGUGCCUUUUGGUUCGGAACAACCCAGGGAAACUUGGGCUAAUACCGGAUAAGCCCUUACGGGGAAAGAUUUAUCGCCAAAAGAUCGGCCCGCGUCUGAUUAGCUAGUUGGUGAGGUAAUGGCUCACCAAGGCUACGAUCAGUAGCUGGUCUGAGAGGAUGAUCAGCCUCAUUGGGACUGAGACACGGCCCAAACUCCUACGGGAGGCAGCAGUGGGGAAUAUUGGACAAUGGGCGCAAGCCUGAUCCAGCCAUGCCGCGUGGAUGAUGAAGGCCUUAGGGUUGUAAAGUCCUUUUAACGGGGAAGAUAAUGACGGUACCCGUAGAAUAAGCCCCGGCUAACUUCGUGCCAGCAGCCGCGGUAAUACGAAGGGGGCUAGCGUUG